rnacentral:rRNA from 1 species
GUCCUAGCCGUAAACGGUGCACGUUUGCUGUAAAAGGAAUCGACCCCUUUUGUGGCGUAGCCAACGCGUUAAACGUGCCGCCUGGGAAGUACGGUCGCAAGAUUAAAACUCAAAGAAAUUGACGGGGGCCUGCACAAGCGGUGGAGUAUGUGGCUCAAUUCGAUGCAACGCGAAGAACCUUACCUGGCCUUGACAUGCAUAUAGUAGAAGGGUGAAAGCCUGACGAGGUAGCAAUACCAGUAUGCACAGGUGCUGCAUGGCUGUCGU